AUUGUUUCAAAAAUCAGGUGCCUUUGCUGUAUACCUGGAGCCCUGGCAUGCUGAUAUUUUUGAGUUCCUUGAUCUAAGGAAGAACCAUGGCAAGGAGGAGAACCGUGCGAGGGAUCUUUUCUUUGCUCUCUGGGUUCCUGAUCUAUUCAUGCAAAGAGUACAAAAUAAUGAGGAUUAGUCCCUGUUUUGUCCUAAUGAAGCUCUGGGGUUGGCUGAUUGCUGGGGUGAGAAGUUUGAGGAAUUGUACAAGAAAUAUGAGAAAGCAGGCAAAGCGAAAAAGGUCAUUCCAGCACAGACCCUCUGGUUUGACAUUUUGAAGGCACAGAUUGAAACUGGCACACCUUAUAUGCUCG